rnacentral:rRNA from 1 species
AACGAACGCUGGCGGCAUGCCUAACACAUGCAAGUCGAACGAUCCCUUCGGGUAUAGUGGCGCACGGGUGCGUAACGCGUGGGAACCUGCCCUUAGGUUCGGAAUAACUCAGAGAAAUUUGAGCUAAUACCGGAUAAUGUCUUCGGACCAAAGAUUUAUCGCCUUUGGAUGGGCCCGCGUUGGAUUAGCUAGUUGGUGGGGUAAAGGCCUACCAAGGCGACGAUCCAUAGCUGGUCUGAGAGGAUGAUCAGCCACACUGGGACUGAGACACGGCCCAGACUCCUACGGGAGGCAGCAGUGGGGAAUAUUGGACAAUGGGCGAAAGCCUGAUCCAGCAAUGCCGCGUGAGUGAUGAAGGCCUUAGGGUUGUAAAGCUCUUUUACCCGGGAUGAUAAUGACAGUACCGGGAGAAUAAGCCCCGGCUAACUCCGUG